rnacentral:rRNA from 1 species
AACGAACGCUGGCGGUAUGCUUAACACAUGCAAGUCGAACGAACAGAAUUGGGGCUUGCUCCAAUUUUAGUGAGUGGCAAACGGGUGAGUAACACGUGGGAAUCUACCUAUCAGUACGGAAUAACAUUUGGAAACAGAUGCUAAUACCGUAUAUUCUCCAAGGAGGAAAGAUUUAUCGCUGAUAGAUGAGCCCGCGUAAGAUUAGGUAGUUGGUAGGUUAAUGGCCUACCAAGCCGACGAUCUUUAGCUGGUCUGAGAGGAUGAUCAGCCACACUGGGACUGAGACACGGCCCAGACUCCUACGGGAGGCAGCAGUGGGGAAUAUUGGACAAUGGGCGAAAGCCUGAUCCAGCAAUACCGCGUGAAUGAUGAAGGCCUUAGGGUUGUAAAGUUCUUUUAGUUGGAAAGAUAAUGACGGUACCAACAGAAAAAGCCCCGGCUAACUCCGUGCCAGCAGCCGCAGUAA